GAAAGAGAGAGAAGCAGAGAGUGAAAGAGCAAGACAGAGCACAUGAGGUAAAGUUAAUUAACCUGGUAACUAUAUAUGGCAUAGCCCUGGGAAGGGCGUUAGAAUCCAGAGGCCACACCAGGCUGUGCACAGGGACUGCAAUGGAAUGAAUGGGAGGCACUUCAAAGCAAGAAGUGAUGCCAUUCCUAUCUGGACGACAACUGAAGAUUACUGGAGUGGCUCCUAGUUAUCUCAAAGACGGAAUUCCCUUUCCCUCUAAUGCCUUCAUCCUGGACCUAGACUAGAGGUCUAAUCUAGCCUUGGAGCCCUCAGGCGAGACCCAGAAGAAACAAAGUCCCCAGAGAAGGAACCAUUCCUAUGACCAGUGCCUGAAUUUCCUGCGAGAAUAAGGAAGCCUCACCCUCGGACUACCAGGCCACUGCUGCCCCCUCCUCCACUGUCUGGAAGUGUCAUCAGCAGAGGUGACUCCCCAGAGAUGACACAAGCCUCCUUUUCUAUAGUGCUAUCUACAGGACCGGAGCAAAGGAACAAGUGAGGAGACUGGGGUCUCAGAUACCACCAUGGGGUUGGAGUCACUAUGUCAGUAUUGUCAGGCUAAGCCUUGGGGCAAUGGCUCCAGGAAUUCAGGAUUGGGGUGUGUACACGUGUGUGUGUGUGUGUGUGUGUGUGUGUGUAUGUGUUGGGUUUUUAAUCACAGCAGCAUGCUUCCAAGCAAGCAAGAGAUGAGCGCUCUGCUUGACAUGGAGAUGAAAACUAGAAUAAAGCCCAUGAGAGUUUGUGCACUGAACACAUUGUACUAAGCCCAAUGUCUACACCAAAUAUUGUCCUUCUUUUAGUUGGGUCGCCCUUCCUUAGCAAGCAAAAUAGAAGAUACUUGUGUACAACAUGAGGAGUAACUGAAUAUACUAGACAUUUGUUAUAUCCAAAUAUGGCUCAUUUAUAAACUCAAUUUCCU